AAUUACAAUAAGUUUGGGGUUUUUAAAAAAUAUUUGAAUCUCUCAAUCCUAAAGUCGUAUCGCCGGCGAGACAUUCAAAUCGACUCCGGCAAUAUCACACACUCCCUCUCCGAUACAGAUUUCCGGCAAUUACCUGGCCCUGAGCCAUAAAUGGCGUCUCGAGUGUUUCCCUCGAGCUCGUGUGGCCAUUACCGGUACGUGUUAUAGACAAAUCCUGUAACUAUCCUUUAAUCUCUCGAGCUUUGUAUAUAUAGCGUUUCGUUGUUUGUUCUAUUCCUGUUUGAAUAUGCGACUGUAACAAAAUUCAUGAAAAUUGAGCUUUUGUAUAUAAAUUCCUACUCUAUGUUCUGUCAUUGAUCUGUCUCAUUUCUCUUGGAAUUUGUACUCUUGUUGUUGUUCUGUUGCCUCUUCCAGUAGAAUAAGCUUGCUGGAAUCUGAUGUUGAAGAAGAGCCGCUAAGUAUUGUUUGAAACCAUCGAGCAGAAGCUUUAGGUAUCCUUGUGAGAUUGUUCUUGUAGUCAACAUAGUAGAUCCCAAACCGGACCGUGUAUCCUGAGUUCCAUUCCCAAUUGUCUAGCAAUGACCACACAAAAUAUCCUCUUACGUCGCAUUCAUCAUUCCUGCAAAGUGAAUGCGGGAACAUUUCAAACUCAAGAAUCUUUGUGAAUCUCUGCAAAGUGAAGAACUUUACCUUAUGGCAGCUGAUAAGUUUGAGAGGUGGGUUUCCAUAUAUGUCUUUAACAUACACUGCCAGUUUCCUGAUUCCCCAUGGGACAAUGUGUAGCCAGCUUGACCCUGCCUGUUUCAAGUAUGGUAAGCAGCAGCAUGAGACAACAGAAUGUUAUGAGCUACAAUAUACGGUUCGACCGAUGACUUCCCCUUCUUACAGAACCAAUGUCCCAGAAGUGAGCACCUUCCUGGAGCUUGUAUCCCUGUGUCAUAGCCUUGGAUCGAUACCCCAUGAGGCUCAUUGAAAGUGAUCCAGUACUUCACUCUAUCUCCAAAUGCUUUGAAACAGGUGAAUGCAUAAUGCUCAAAAUCAUCCCUGCACCAUUUAUUUAGCUUUUUAAUUUCGUAAUAAUCUCACCAUAUCAGGAUUUCACAUUUUUAUCAAAAUAUCAUAUACUCACACCACUUCUCUGCUUAGCCAUCCUUCAUAUCUGUCUUCUAAGGCUUGUGGGAGAUCCCAGUGAUACAAUGUCACAUAAGGUUUGAUUCCUUUGGCUAAAAGAGCAUCUAUUAGGCUGUUAUAGUACUUAACUCCAUCUGGGUUUACUUCCCCUGUUCCAUCUGUUAAAACCAGAGUUUAAAUAGACCCGUCGAAACGCACAACAUUACUCAUCAUAUCACAGCUGAAUGAAAUAGACUUACUAGGGAAUAUUCUUGACCAAGAUAUAGAGAAUCUGUAAGCAUCCAUUCUCAGAUCUUUCAUCAGGUCUAUGUCAUUCUGUGAUAGCAACAAAACAAAAGAAAGGCUCUUGCUUCUUAGAUUCUCUCAUUUGUGUCCUGUUGCGUCUUAUCUUAGAUUUGUUUGGAUGAGGUUGCUCUGUCAAGAAGCAACCCUACUUUUAUCUUCAAGCUUAAGUCAACAAAUUUGUAAUUGUUAGGUAAAACUUACGUGAAACCUAUGAUAUUGAUCAACCGUAGUAUCCGCAUUGCUGAAAUCCAGUAUCUUUCCUGUUGAUCAAGAACGAUACCAUUGAGUUAACUAAAACCUUCGUGAUGUUUUCUGGGUUUGUUUCUUUGAUACCUGGUUUCUCCUUCGUGAAAGUGUCCCAUAUGCUUUCUCCUUUGUUUCCUUCUUUCACAGCUCCUUCGAACUGAUUUCUUGCAAGAAAAUGUUGCGAUUGUCAAAAUCUUCGUUCUUUCUUUGUUGGAUCAGUUUGGAGAAGAUGAAGAAGAAGAAGAAUGUCACCUGGUAAGCUGAAGAAGCUGUUCCGAAUACAAAUCCAUCUGGAAAAUUUGCUCUGCUGAUAGAUUCUGAAGAAACGUGAUCAAGAGGUACGAAGAAGACGACGAAGAACGGAAACAGAACUAAGACGAGUCUCAUUAAAGAUUCCAUUUUUUGGGUCGCAUGAAUAGAGAAAGUGAGAGAAAGAGAGAGAUAAGGGGAUGGAAUUUUAUGGUGAAUGAAAGAUUUGGAGGCAAGAAAAUGGAGUUUUGGUGUGUGUGUGUUUUUAAUUUGUAAAGUUGAAGAAGAAAGAGGAAGAGUGCAAAACAAAAGCUCACGUCUUUUGAAGGCUUUUCUUUGGUUUUGACAUUUGUUCUCUCUACUUUUACUGCACACGUUUCUUAUACUUGUGCCAAAAACUUUUUAAAGUUGUUUACUCUCUUAAGAUAAAAAAAAAGUUUGUUACUGAGUGACACUGAUUCACCUAACUACCUAUGUCUUUUUUUUAAAGAUAUUCUUCUUGAUAGUCUUGUUAUUUGUAACCCC
rnacentral:lncRNA from 1 species